UAUCAUUGUUUGAAAAAACUAGGAAGGAGACUUCAGUCUUAUUGAGAUAUGUAUUUCUGCAGGUUAGGCUGAAGCCUCUGCAUGUCCCGAUGCCUGAUGGAGAUGGAGGAAUCCUUUCUACCCAGACAGAAGUCACACUAUGUAGCCUGUCCUCUUUAGAACUCUCGCUGUGUCGCCAGGCUGGAGUGCAAUGGUGCCAUCUCGACUCACUGCAACCUCCGCAUACUGGGUUCAAGUGAUUCUCCUGCCUCAGCCUCCUGAGUAGCUGCGACUACAGGCGCGCACCACCACUCCCAGCUAAUUUUUUUAUUUUUAGUAGAGAGGGGGUUUCACCGUGUUGGCCAGGGUGGUCUCAAUCUCUUGACCUCGUGAACCGCCCACCUCAGCUUCCCAAAGUGCUGAGAUUAUAGAUAACAUUCUCUGGCUAACGGUGAUUAAGCCCCAGGAAACAUAUCCAAGACACGUAAGAAUACUUUUCAGCCUUCUAACACAAGUAUGAACUGUAAGAAAAAGAGAGCUGCAUGCUCUUUUACCAUCUCAACUUCCCCCAAAUUAAAGAGACUUGAAUGUAA
rnacentral:lncRNA from 10 species